AGCAGCCGCGGUAAUUCCAGCUCCAAUAGCGUAUAUUAAAGUUGUUGCAGUUAAAAAGCUCGUAGUUGAAUUUCGGGGUUAGUAGGUUGGUCAUGCCUCUGGUAUGUACUGGUCUCACUGAUUCCUCCUUCCUGAUGAACCUUAAUGCCAUUAAUUUGGUGUUUUGGGGAAUUUGGACUGUUACUUUGAAAAAUUGAGUGUUUAAAGCAAGCUAACGCUUGAAUACAUUAGCAUGGAAUAAUGAAAUAGGACGUUCGAUCCUAUUUUGUUGGUUUCUAGGAUUGACGUAAUGAUUAAUAGGGAUAGUUGGGGCAUUAGUAUUCAAUUGUCAGAGGUGAAAUUCUUGGAUUUAUUGAAGACUAACUACUGCGAAAGCAUUUGCCAAGGAUGUUUCAUUAAUACAAGAACGAAAGUUAGGGAUACGAAGACGAUCAGAUACCGU
rnacentral:rRNA from 1 species